GGUUAAGCGACUAAGCGUACACGGUGGAUGCCCUGGCAGUCAGAGGCGAUGAAGGACGUGCUAAUCUGCGAAAAGCGUCGGUAAGGUGAUAUGAACCGUUAUAACCGGCGAUGUCCGAAUGGGGAAACCCAGUGUGAUUCGUCACACUAUCGUUAACUGAAUACAUAGGUUAACGAGGCGAACCGGGGGAACUGAAACAUCUAAGUACCCCGAGGAAAAGAAAUCAACCGAGAUUCCCCCAGUAGCGGCGAGCGAACGGGGAGCAGCCCAGAGUCUGAAUCAGCUUGUGUGUUAGUGGAACGGUCUGGAAAGUCCGACGGUACAGGGUGAUAGUCCCGUACACCAAAAUGCACAGGCUGUGAACUCGAAGAGUAGGGCGGGACACGUGGUAUCCUGUCUGAAUAUGGGGGGACCAUCCUCCAAGGCUAAAUACUCCUGACUGACCGAUAGUGAACCAGUACCGUGAGGGAAAGGCGAAAAGAACCCCGGCGAGGGGAGUGAAAAAGAACCUGAAACCGUGUACGUACAAGCAGUGGGAGCACCUUCGGGUGUGACUGCGUACCUUUUGUAUAAUGGGUCAGCGACUUAUAUUCUGUAGCAAGGUUAACCGUAUAGGGGAGCCGCAGGGAAACCGAGUCUUAACUGGGCGUUAAGUUGCAGGGUAUAGACCCGAAACCCGGUGAUCUAGCCAUGGGCAGGUUGAAGGUUGGGUAACACUAACUGGAGGACCGAACCGACUAAUGUUGAAAAAUUAGCGGAUGACUUGUGGCUGGGGGUGAAAGGCCAAUCAAACCGGGAGAUAGCUGGUUCUCCCCGAAAGCUAUUUAGGUAGCGCCUCGUGAACUCAUCUUCGGGGGUAGAGCACUGUUUCGGCUAGGGGGUCAUCCCGACUUACCAACCCGAUGCAAACUACGAAUACCGAAGAAUGUUAUCACGGGAGACACACGGCGGGUGCUAACGUCCGUCGUGAAGAGGGAAACAACCCAGACCGCCAGCUAAGGUCCCAAAGUCAUGGUUAAGUGGGAAACGAUGUGGGAAGGCACAGACAGCCAGGAUGUUGGCUUAGAAGCAGCCAUCAUUUAAAGAAAGCGUAAUAGCUCACUGGUCGAGUCGGCCUGCGCGGAAGAUGUAACGGGGCUAAACCAUGCACCGAAGCUGCGGCAGCGACACUAUGUGUUGUUGGGUAGGGGAGCGUUCUGUAAGCCUGCGAAGGUGACCUGUGAGGGUUGCUGGAGGUAUCAGAAGUGCGAAUGCUGACAUAAGUAACGAUAAAGCGGGUGAAAAGCCCGCUCGCCGGAAGACCAAGGGUUCCUGUCCAACGUUAAUCGGGGCAGGGUGAGUCGACCCCUAAGGCGAGGCCGAAAGGCGUAGUCGAUGGGAAACAGGUUAAUAUUCCUGUACUUGGUGUUACUGCGAAGGGGGGACGGAGAAGGCUAUGUUAGCCGGGCGACGGUUGUCCCGGUUUAAGCAUGUAGGCUGAUUAUCCAGGCAAAUCCGGAUAAUCAAGGCUGAGGUGUGAUGACGAGGCACUACGGUGCUGAAGUAACAAAUGCCCUGCUUCCAGGAAAAGCCUCUAAGCAUCAGGUAACAUCAAAUCGUACCCCAAACCGACACAGGUGGUCAGGUAGAGAAUACCAAGGCGCUUGAGAGAACUCGGGUGAAGGAACUAGGCAAAAUGGUGCCGUAACUUCGGGAGAAGGCACGCUGGUGUGUAGGUGAAGUCCCUGCGGAUGGAGCUGAGACCAGUCGAAGAUACCAGCUGGCUGCAACUGUUUAUUAAAAACACAGCACUGUGCAAACACGAAAGUGGACGUAUACGGUGUGACGCCUGCCCGGUGCCGGAAGGUUAAUUGAUGGGGUUAUCCGUAAGGAGAAGCUCUUGAUCGAAGCCCCGGUAAACGGCGGCCGUAACUAUAACGGUCCUAAGGUAGCGAAAUUCCUUGUCGGGUAAGUUCCGACCUGCACGAAUGGCGUAAUGAUGGCCAGGCUGUCUCCACCCGAGACUCAGUGAAAUUGAACUCGCUGUGAAGAUGCAGUGUACCCGCGGCAAGACGGAAAGACCCCGUGAACCUUUACUAUAGCUUGACACUGAACAUUGAGCCUUGAUGUGUAGGAUAGGUGGGAGGCUUUGAAGCGUGGACGCCAGUCUGCGUGGAGCCAACCUUGAAAUACCACCCUUUAAUGUUUGAUGUUCUAACGUUGGCCCCUGACCGGGGUUGCGGACAGUGUCUGGUGGGUAGUUUGACUGGGGCGGUCUCCUCCCAAAGCGUAACGGAGGAGCACGAAGGUUAGCUAAUCCUGGUCGGACAUCAGGAGGUUAGUGCAAUGGCAUAAGCUAGCUUGACUGCGAGCGUGACGGCGCGAGCAGGUGCGAAAGCAGGUCAUAGUGAUCCGGUGGUUCUGAAUGGAAGGGCCAUCGCUCAACGGAUAAAAGGUACUCCGGGGAUAACAGGCUGAUACCGCCCAAGAGUUCAUAUCGACGGCGGUGUUUGGCACCUCGAUGUCGGCUCAUCACAUCCUGGGGCUGAAGUAGGUCCCAAGGGUAUGGCUGUUCGCCAUUUAAAGUGGUACGCGAGCUGGGUUUAGAACGUCGUGAGACAGUUCGGUCCCUAUCUGCCGUGGGCGCUGGAGAAUUGAGGGGGGCUGCUCCUAGUACGAGAGGACCGGAGUGGACGCAUCACUGGUGUUCGGGUUGUCAUGCCAAUGGCACUGCCCGGUAGCUAAAUGCGGAAGAGAUAAGUGCUGAAAGCAUCUAAGCACGAAACUUGCCCCGAGAUGAGUUCUCCCUGAGACUUUAAGUCUCCUGAAGGAACGUUAAAGACGAUGACGUUGAUAGGCCGGGUGUGUAAGCGCAGCGAUGCGUUGAGCUAACCGGUACUAAUGAACCGUGAGGCUUAACCUU
rnacentral:rRNA from 1 species